rnacentral:rRNA from 1 species
UGGGGAUAACCUUGCGAAAGUAAGACUAAUACCCAAUGACGUCUCUAGAAGACAUCUGAAGGAGAUUAAAGAUUUAUCGGUGAUGGAUGGGGAUGCGUCUGAUUAGCUUGUUGGCGGGGUAACGGCCCACCAAGGCGACGAUCAGUAAGGGUUCUGAGAGGAGGGUCCCCCACAUUGGAACUGAGACACGGUCCAAACUCCUACGGGAGGCAGCAGUGAGGAAUAUUGGUCAAUGGGCGAGAGCCUGAACCAGCCAAGUAGCGUGCAGGAAGACGGCCCUAUGGGUUGUAAACUGCUUUUAUAAGGGAAUAAAGUGAGUCUCGUGAGACUUUUUGCAUGUACCUUAUGAAUAAGGACCGGCUAAUUCCGUGCCAGCAGCCGCGGUAAUACGGAAGGUCCGGGCGUUAUCCGGAUUUAUUGGGUUUAAAGGGAGCGUAGGCCGGAGAUUAAGCGUGUUGUGAAAUGUAGACGCUCAACGUCUGCACUGCAGCGCGAACUGGUUUCCUUGAGUACGCACAAAGUGGGCGGAAUUCGUGGUGUAGCGGUGAAAUGCUUAGAUAUCACGAAGAACUCCGAUUGCGAAGGCAGCUCACUGGAGCGCAACUGACGCUGAAGCUCGAAAGUGCGGGUAUCGAACAGGAUUAGAUACCCUGGUAGUCCGCACGGUAAACGAUGGAUGCCCGCUGUUGGUCUGAAUAGGUCAGCGGCCAAGCGAAAGCAUUAAGCAUCCCACCUGGGGAGUA